ensembl:processed_transcript
ACUGCCUACUUGAAAAAAUCAGACUGUUCCUGAGGAGUUUGAACAAGCAAGAGAGAGAAGUUCAAUAAAAGAUGGAUGGUUUGAGACCAGCACUGUUUGGAUUGUUUUUAGUGUCUUUCUCCAAUUCUAAACCGUUGGACCACCUGACAUUAUCCAGUCAAUCGUCUGAAUCAAACGACUCCAGCUCUUCAGAGGAGAUCUCCAUCCCAAACCAAUCAGUGGAGCCUCUGGAGCUGCACACCGGGAUCCCUGACAUCCUGGAGGAUCCUCAGAACCAGACCAGCCCACAACGAGCACAACAUCUAUCCGCCAUCCCACUGCUGGAUGCCCUGAACAGCAGCAGCAGCAGCAGCGUCGUGUCUCUUCAUCCAGAGGUGACUGUGGAUCCGGGUGUCCAGCGGGUGGUGUUUCCAGACCUCAGCACUCCAGAGCCACGCUGCUACACACUGCCCAUCACCACCGCCCCGCCAAAACCUGCCCGAGGAGACAGCAUUUAAUUCAAGAGGAAACUGAGCCUGAAAACAUGGGGUUGUUGCAGAUUUACCUUGAUAUUGGAGAAAAGCUUGUAUCAUCUCUUCACUGCUCU